ACUCAGCCUAGGCUUCCAGGCCCUGCUGGGCCCUCCUAUCCACUGAAGGAAAUGGGAGAUGAGUGGGCAAUGGAAAAGCCUUUGGAGUCAAAGGUAAAUCCAUGAGUUGACCACUUAUUGCUGUGAGACCCUGGACAGCCAGAUAUAGAGUUCUUGUUCUAGCACUGGCCCUAGGAAUCCCCAGAACUGGGCCUCUUACCCACACCACUGCCUGUAAUCCACAAACCUAUGAGCACAUGGUUAAAGCAUGAGAUGUGAAACCAGGAAGAACCAGGUCUGAAUCUUAGCUCCACCAGUGGUAGCUCCAAACCUUAGUCCUUUCUGAGCCUGCUUCUUCAACCCUAAGGAAUUCGGAAACGGGACCCAGAAAGUUGUUUCCUGCAAGUGGCUGGAACAACACAAGCAAUAAGUAUCCUGAAACAGGCCCUG
rnacentral:antisense_RNA from 1 species